UGAACAGUGAGAUCCUGAAUAAUACUCCCUUGCUGAACCCAGAGGAUGGCAGCGCUCUCACUGGACGUCCGUGGGGGAGGGAGACAGACGUGCAAUGGCCUUCAGAGCUCAAGGGUCACACCUCAGCCCCCUGUGUCACCACUGCCAGCAGCACCAAUUGGAAGAUGGAGGAGAAGGUUGAAAGGAGGGUGGCUUGGUUGACAAUAUUUCUCUACAGGCUCACCCACAGCCAGUGUCUCAGCCUUCUAAAACAGAAUAUAAGCUGUUACUCGGAGAACAGUAAGCAGCCUUUCAGGAGGUACAGCCAUUGGGCCCGAAGGUGUUACAUGCAUGAGAAAUGAUCACUGGUCAAAAUGACUUCAAAAGUCUCAGGCUAAAGCAAGUAGCAUUUACCAAAGUACUGGGCAAGAUUUUUUCCGAAGAUAUGGAACAAGUCCUCUAAGCUCCAUAGCACAUUUCCUGCCUGUACGUGGGGGGUGGGGAAAAUAGAAAAAAAUAUGAGAAGGAAGAGCCUACGCCAUGAGAGAGCAGGAGAACGCACAGCCUGGAUUUAUAAUACGAAUGGAAAGCCCAGGAGUAGAUAUUAGGCAAGUUAUCCCACCAACACACACAUAAGACACACAAGAAUAGCUUGAAAUAAACAAGUAGAAUUGAUUCGUAAAUCAUACUUUUGCACUCAGGAGCAAUGGAUGUCAAUCAAACAUGGAUGACAUUUGCUUGUCAAUAUGGGGAUGAUGGCUGGGAAGACAGAGACUUACUACAUCAGGGCGAGAAUGUGAAAUGAGAAGCAGGAACAAAUAAGACUACAGCAACCAAACAAAAGACUAACACCCUGGGUGAUGUUGUCUGUGGGCUCCACAGCGUGGACCCCUCCUUCUCUGGCUCUUCUGCCUACCCUGACCCCACCCUGUUGGUUUCAUUCUUUCUUUCCUGCUUUCAAACUAAAUAAGGUCAAAUGAGCAAGCAGAAGGAAACAAAGAUUCAUUGAUUCUUUUAAAAGAAAUGUCAGCAGUUCCUGCAGGUCUUUCCUGGGAGAAUCAACUGUGAGUGUCCGGCAGUGGGGCUCAGCCUGGCCCAGGUCUCCACAGCACCUCAGCUUGGCUCAUGAGGCACUCCUGCUGCUGGGAAAUACUCCCCACUUCUCAAACCUUUCAUUUUUAUUAUUUAUGAAUGUGUGUCUAUAUCUUGGGUAUAAUUAUACGUGUAUUUCAGAAUAUUUCAAUUCACGUGAGCUACCUUAUUUUCAGAUGUUCGAGCAGCAGACACAGUUAAGUUCUGUCCUGGACACAAUACCUAUUUUCCUAACACAUCUUCUGGGUUGCUUCUCUAAAGUCACCUUCCUUUUGGAAGACAAGGUGGUAAAAAGUAUGGUGUCAGCAAUGGAGAGCCGUGAGUUACUGACAUAAACUGUUCUCUGAUACAGUACCACCAAAUUAUCAAACUUCAUGAGACCUCUUUAUUGCUAAAGAGGGUCCAGUGAGGGAAAAAAUCGAGAGUUUUCUAAAGGUAGGAUUGUAUAAAUAAAUUCUCAACAAAAGUCUCAAGACACAUGGAGUUUCCUCUUUGAAGAAUGCUCAUCUCAUAGAGAAACCAUGUACCUUGGAAGUCACUUCCUCCCCCACCCUGAGGAUAACAUAAAAUAGUAGAGUUGGAAGGGACCGUAGCAAGCGAGUCUCCACCUGCUCACUCUGCAAAUGGUGAGACUGAGACACAGAGCCAAGAGCAAAGCAGGCCAUCCAGCGCCAGUAUCGCACACCUCGUUUUACUGAGCUUCACAGAUACUGCAUUUUGUACACAUUGAAGGUUUGCAGCAACCACCAGGGAAAAGAUUAUGACUCAAUGAAGGCUCAGAUAAUGGUUAGCAUGUUUUAGCAAUACAGUAUAUUUAGUUAAGGUAUGCAUAUUGGUUUUUUUAGAUUAAUGCACACUUAAUAGACUACAGCAUGGUCUAAACAUAACUUUGUAUGCACUGGGAAAUCAAGAAAUUCACGUGACUCACUUUAUUAGGAUAUUCACUUUACUGUGGUCUUGGAACCAAACCCACAGUAUUUCCAAGGCAGCCUGUGCACUUCCCAUACAACGUGGUAUCGGCGCAUUCCAACCCGGCCCAAGACCUAUGGUACUAGUCCCAGUAAUUGAGGCUUUCCUCUUUCCAUUUUCUCUGAUGCCAAAGCAAAGCUUGAUUUUGCAACUGAGAGCUCUACCAUCUCAAAGUUCUGCCGAGGUUUGGAAAGGUGCUCAGUAGUCAUCACCCCAUGAAGAUUUCAUCUCCCAGGUCACAAGGCCGACCCCUGUCUUUCAGUUGAAUGCACAAACCCAGGCAAUGCAUGAACAUUUGUGUUUUUUUAGUGAAGUUUAAAUUAUCGGUCUUCUUCCUUUUCUCUAGAAAUGCCACACCAUGUACUUCGGAAGUAGCUUUUCCCCCCACCCCAAGAUUUUCAUGGAUGACUGAGUAGUAUGG